GUUCUGACUCUUUAUUGCCGUUGACUUUGUUACUGUUGAGUCAGGAUGGGAUUGAAAAGCUCCAAUCAACUUGAAACUCAGCUUCAGUGUGAUGUCGGUGUCUGUUGUCAGUGUCAGUGAUGUUGAACAGGUUUCUGACCUGCUGGACAGAACCACACGUCUGUUCUACUUUAGUGAACUUUUAUGAAGUACAAAAUAUGGGACAAAAACUUUUAACGCAGUUUAUCCUAAAGUCUUGGACAAAAUAACAAAAUGCAUCUAAACUAACUUUAUGUGGAUAUUUACAAUAAUUAAUGUGAAAACAAGGCGAAAUACACAGAGUACUCUGGAAGUAAACAUGUCACAGGAUUCCAGAAGGCCUGUAAUUAUUAAGGCCUAACAAGCUUCAAAUCUAAAUCAGGUUUUAUUGUAAUUUCAAAAAUCCUUGUUUCUGGUUUUAAAGAUUUCGGUGCGUGUCUUGAUGAUUUUUGGAACAACAACUCAAUUGUCUAUAAACUGAGACAGAGAAAAAACUGUUUAACUCUUUAAAAACCCUAAAGAAACUUUACUGUCAGUUUGAAUGAACUCAAAGGUGGAAUGUGAUUGGCUGAUGCUGGGAGAAAAAGGUUGAGACCUGAUGGAUAGAAAUACAGAAAAGGACCAUUAGCUCUGAAGGCUCUGGGCUGUACAUAACAAACCUUCAAAUAAGAAGUAAUCAUUGGAGAGUUUUUUUUUCUACUGUCUCACGAUGAACUAAUGUUCCCUUCACGUCCUGCUGCUCUGCUACCGUUAAUUCUACAACCUUGUUUGUUUUUGCUUCUCCGUCACACUGCUGUUUGGUUUCAUUUUUUUUUUUUUUUUAAUGCCAAAACGUAGCUUCGUCAUACAAACAGCAAACAACGUUGUCAGUGUGUGAAAAGAAAAUUGUAACAGUGUAGAACACAUUGUGUAUACUUCAUGGAUUUCAAUAUAAAGAUAUCAACACAGAAA